rnacentral:rRNA from 1 species
CCUACGGGAGGCAGCAGUGGGGAAUAUUGGUCAAUGGUCGGGAGACUGAACCAGCCAAGCAGCGUGAAGGAUGAAGGUACAGAGUAUCGUAAACCUCUUUUGUCAGGGAACAAAAGCAGGGACGUGUCCCCGGAUGCGUGUACCUGAAGAAAAAGCAUCGGCUAACUCCGUGCCAGCAGCCGCGGUAAUACGGAGGAUGCGAGCGUUAUCCGGAUUUAUUGGGUUUAAAGGGUGCGCAGGGGGGUUGUUAAGUCAGCGGUCAAAGCCCGGGGCUCAACCCCCGGCCGGCGGUUGAAACUGGCAGUCUCGAGUUGGAGAGAAGUAUGCGGAAUGCGCGGUGUAGCGGUGAAAUGCAUAGAUAUCGCGCAGAACUCCGAUUGCGAAGGCAGCAUGCUGGCUCCACACUGACGUUGAGGCACGAAAGCGUGGGUAUCGAACAGGAUUAGAUACCCCAGUAGUC